rnacentral:rRNA from 1 species
AGGCAGCUGACGAGUCCUUAACUGACGCUAAAGCUCGAAAGUGCGGGUAUCGAACAGGAUUAGAUACCCUGGUAGUCCGCACGGUAAACGAUGGAUGCCCGCUGUUGGCGAUACAAUGUCAGCGGCCAAGCGAAAGCGUUAAGCAUCCCACCUGGGGAGUACGCCGGCAACGGUGAAACUCAAAGGAAUUGACGGGGGCCCGCACAAGCGGAGGAACAUGUGGUUUAAUUCGAUGAUACGCGAGGAACCUUACCCGGGCUUGAACUGCAGCUGAACGAUUCAGAGAUGAUGAGGUCCUUCGGGACAGCUGUGGAGGUGCUGCAUGGUUGUCGUCAGCUCGUGCCGUGAGGUGUCGGCUUAAGUGCCAUAACGAGCGCAACCCUUUUCUCUAGUUGCCAUCAGGUUUUGCUGGGCACUCUGGAGACACUGCCACCGUAAGGUGUGAGGAAGGUGGGGAUGACGUCAAAUCAGCACGGCCUGACCUUCCGGGCCUACACACCUGUUACAAGGGGUGGUACAGAGAGUUGGUAGUCUGCGAAUGCGAUCUAAUCCUUAAAGCCAUCCUCAGUUCCGAUUGGCGUCUGCAACCCGCACCAUGAA